rnacentral:rRNA from 1 species
CGAACGCUGGCGGCAGGCUUAACACAUGCAAGUCGAACGCCCUCUUCGGAGGGAGUGGCAGACGGGUGAGUAACGCGUGGGAAUUUACCCAGCUCUACGGAACAACUCAGGGAAACUUGAGCUAAUACCGUAUACGCCCUUUUGGGGAAAGAUUUAUCGGAGUUGGAUGAGCCCGCGUUUGAUUAGCUAGUUGGUGGGGUAAUGGUCUACCAAGGCGACGAUAAAUAGCUGGUCUGAGAGGAUGAUCAGCCACACUGGGACUGAGACACGGCCCAGACUCCUACGGGAGGCAGCAGUGGGAAUAUUGGACAAUGGGCGCAAGCCUGAUCCAGCCAUGCCGCGUGAGUGAUGAAGGCCCUAGGGUUGUAAAGCUCUUUCAACGGUGAAGAUAAUGACGGUAACCGUAGAAGAAGCCCCGGCUAACCUC